rnacentral:rRNA from 1 species
AUACAGAGGUCCCGAGCGUUGUUCGGAUUCACUGGGCGUAAAGGGUGCGUAGGCGGUUGGAUAAGUCUGACGUGAAAUACUGGAGCUCAACUCCGGAACGGCGUCGGAAACUAUUUGACUAGAGGAUUGGAGGGGGGACUGGAAUUCUCGGUGUAGCAGUGAAAUGCGUAGAUAUCGAGAGGAACACCCGUGGCGAAGGCGAGUCCCUGGACAAUUCCUGACGCUGAGGCACGAAAGCUAGGGGAGC